GACGAACGCUGGCGGCGUGCUUAACACAUGCAAGUCGAACGGAAACGCCCUGCUUUUGUGCGCUGCUCGGGGGGCGGACGGGGAAGUAACACGUGAGUAACGUACCCUUCACUUUGGGGUAACUUCAGGAAGCGGGAGCUAAUCCCAGAUAGGAUCUCCCGCUGCAUGGUGGGCGUGGGAAAGUUUCGCCGGUUGGGAUGGACUCGCGCCUUAUCGGCUUGUUUGUGGGGUAGUGGCAUGCCAAGGCUUAGCCGGGUAGCCGGCCUGGGAGGGUGAACAGGGACAGUAGUACUGAGAGAGGGCCCAGACUCCUACGGGAGGCAGCAGUAGGAAAGAUUACACAAUGAGAGGGAGCGUGAGGCAGCAACGCCACGUGCGGGAUGACGGUCUUCGGGUUAUGAAUCGCUUUCGCCUUUGACCAAGCGGGAGUGACGGUAAUCGGUAAAGAAGCACCGGCUAACUUCGUG
rnacentral:rRNA from 1 species